UGCUUUGCACAGGGGCAGUAUCAUAGCCGAUGAGGUUUAUCCAAGGUGUGUGUGAUUGUUGCUAAUUGGAAACUUUCCCAGUACCCUGCCAUGACAAAUUGAAAUGUAGUCAGCACUGGCAAUUUUUGACAGUCUCUACAGAGA
ensembl:snRNA U4 U4 spliceosomal RNA